UUACGGCCAUAUCUCAUUAAAACACCAGUUCUUAUACAAUUACAGAAGUUAAGCAAGUUCAAGCCUGGUUAGUACCUAGAUGGGUGACCGCUUGAAAAUACCAGGUGCUGUAA